CCCUUAGAUGUUCUGGGCCGCACGCGCGCUACACUGACAGAGCCAACGAGUUCUUUCCCUUGGCCGGAAGGUCUGGGUAAUCUUGUUAAACUCUGUCGUGCUGGGGAUAGAGCAUUGCAAUUAUUGCUCUUCAACGAGGAAUGCCUAGUAAGCGCGUGUCAUCAGCACGCGUUGAUUACGUCCCUGCCCUUUGUACACACCGCCCGUCGCUACUACCGAUUGAAUGGCUCAGUGAGACCUUCGGACUGGCUCGAGGAGGUUGGCAACGACCACCUCAAGCCGGAAAGUUGGUCAAACUCGGUCAUUUAGAGGAAGUAAAAGUCGUAACA
rnacentral:rRNA from 1 species